UGCUGUCCCGAGAUGAAUGAACAUGUCGGCCGUGCCGUCCUGAGAUGAAUGAACACAACGGUCAUGCUGUCCUGAGAUGAAUGAACACCUGGGCCAUGCCAUCCUGAAAUGAAUGAACACAUUGGCCAUGCUGUCCUGAGGUGGAUGAACACCUAGUCCAUGCCAUCCUGAGAUGAAUGAACACAUCGGCCACGCCGUCUUGAGAUGAAUGAACACAUCGGCCAUGCCAUCCUGAGAUGAAUGAACACAUUGGCCAUGCUGUCUUGAGAUGAAUGAACACCUGGGCCAUGCUGUCUUGAGAUGAAUGAACACCUGGGCCAUGCUGUCCUGAGACGAAUGAACACCUGGGCCAUGCUGUCUUGAGAUGAAUGAACACAUCAGCCAUGCUCUCCUGAGAGGGAUGAACACCUGGGCCUUGCCGUCCUGAGAUGAAUGAACACAUUGACCAUGCUGUCCUGAGAUGAUUGUCCUGGUUAUGCAGACAUUUCUUUAUAUUAUUUGCUUAACUUUAAUGCCCUCCUAGGAAGAUUUCCCAUACUUUCCUCCCUUCAAUCAAAAUAUCCCAAG
rnacentral:lncRNA from 1 species